rnacentral:rRNA from 1 species
GAUGAACGCUGGCGGCGUGCCUAAUACAUGCAAGUCGAGCGAACAGACGAGGAGCUUGCUCCUCUGACGUUAGCGGCGGACGGGUGAGUAACACGUGGAUAACCUACCUAUAAGACUGGGAUAACUUCGGGAAACCGGAGCUAAUACCGGAUAAUAUAUUGAACCGCAUGGUUCAAUAGUGAAAGACGGUUUUGCUGUCACUUAUAGAUGGAUCCGCGCCGCAUUAGCUAGUUGGUAAGGUAACGGCUUACCAAGGCAACGAUGCGUAGCCGACCUGAGAGGGGGAUCGGCCACACUGGAACUGAGACACGGUCCAGACUCCUACGGGAGGCAGCAGUAGGGAAUCUUCCGCAAUGGGCGAAAGCCUGACGGAGCAACGCCGCGUGAGUGAUGAAGGUCUUCGGAUCGUAAAACUCUGUUAUUAGGGAAGAACAAAUGUGUAAGUAACUAUGCACGUCUUGACGGUACCGAAUCAGAAAGCCACGGCUAACUACGU